rnacentral:rRNA from 1 species
GAUGAACGCUAGCUACAGGCUUAACACAUGCAAGUCGAGCGACGGGCGCACGGGUGAGUAAUACGUAUACAACCUGCCCGUUACUCGGGGAUAGCCUUUCGAAAGAAAGAUUAAUACCCGAUAUAAUGGAUGGGGAUGCGUUCCAUUAGGUUGUUGGUGAGGUACCGCCUAACCAAGCCUUCGAUGGAUAGGGGUUCUGAGAGGAAGGUCCCCUACAUUUGAACUGAGACCCAGUCCAAACUGCUACGCGACACAGCAGUGAAGAAUAUUAGUCAAUGGGCGCUAGCCUGAACCAGCCAAGUAGCGUGAAGGAUGAAGGCUUAUGGAUCGUCUACUUCUUUUGUAUAAGAAUAUGUAUUAUAUGAAUAAGGAUCGGCUAACUCCGUGCCAGCAGCCGCGGUAAUAC